rnacentral:rRNA from 1 species
AGAGUUUGAUCCUGGCUCAGAACGAACGCUGGCGGCGUGGAUAAGACAUGCAAGUCGAACGAGAGAAUUGCUAGCUUGCUAAUAAUUCUCUAGUGGCGCACGGGUGAGUAACACGUGAGUAACCUGCCCCCGAGAGCGGGAUAGCCCUGGGAAACUGGGAUUAAUACCGCAUAGUAUCGAAAGAUUAAAGCAGCAAUGCGCUUGGGGAUGGGCUCGCGGCCUAUUAGUUAGUUGGUGAGGUAACGGCUCACCAAGGCGAUGACGGGUAGCCGGUCUGAGAGGAUGUCCGGCCACACUGGAACUGAGACACGGUCCAGACACCUACGGGUGGCAGCAGUCGAGAAUCAUUCACAAUGGGGGAAACCCUGAUGGUGCGACGCCGCGUGGGGGAAUGAAGGUCUUCGGAUUGUAAACCCCUGUCAUGUGGGAGCAAAUUAAAAAGAUAGUACCACAAGAGGAAGAGACGGCUAACUCUGUGCCAGCAGCCGCGGUAAUACAGAGGUCUCAAGCGUUGUUCGGAAUCACUGGGCGUAAAGCGUGCGUAGGCUGUUUCGUAAGUCGUGUGUGAAAGGCGCGGGCUCAACCCGCGGACGGCACAUGAUACUGCGAGACUAGAGUAAUGGAGGGGGAACCGGAAUUCUCGGUGUAGCAGUGAAAUGCGUAGAUAUCGAGAGGAACACUCGUGGCGAAGGCGGGUUCCUGGACAUUAACUGACGCUGAGGCACGAAGGCCAGGGGAGCGAAAGGGAUUAGAUACCCCUGUAGUCCUGGCAGUAAACGGUGCACGCUUGGUGUGCGGGGAAUCGACCCCCUGCGUGCCGGAGCUAACGCGUUAAGCGUGCCGCCUGGGGAGUACGGUCGCAAGAUUAAAACUCAAAGAAAUUGACGGGGACCCGCACAAGCGGUGGAGUAUGUGGCUUAAUUCGAUGCAACGCGAAGAACCUUACCUGGGCUUGCGAUGUAAUGAACAACAUGUGAAAGCAUGCGACUCUUCGGAGGCGUUACACAGGUGCUGCAUGGCCGUCGUCAGCUCGUGUCGUGAGAUGUUUGGUUAAGUCCAGCAACGAGCGCAACCCCUGUUGCCAGUUACCAGCACGUGAAGGUGGGGACUCUGGCGAGACUGCCCAGAUCAACUGGGAGGAAGGUGGGGACGACGUCAGGUCAGUAUGGCCCUUAUGCCCAGGGCUGCACACGUACUACAAUGCCCAGUACAGAGGGGGCCGAAGCCGCGAGGCGGAGGAAAUCCUAAAAACUGGGCCCAGUUCGGACUGUAGGCUGCAACCCGCCUACACGAAGCCGGAAUCGCUAGUAAUGGCGCAUCAGCUACGGCGCCGUGAAUACGUUCCCGGGUCUUGUACUCACCGCCCGUCA